rnacentral:rRNA from 1 species
CCUACGGGUGGCAGCAGUAGGGAAUCUUCCACAAUGGACGAAAGUCUGAUGGAGCAACGCCGCGUGAGUGAAGAAGGGUUUCGGCUCGUAAAGCUCUGUUGGUAGUGAAGAAAGAUAGAGGUAGUAACUGGCCUCUAUUUGACGGUAAUUACUUAGAAAGUCACGGCUAACUACGUGCCAGCAGCCGCGGUAAUACGUAGGUGGCAAGCGUUGUCCGGAUUUAUUGGGCGUAAAGCGAGUGCAGGCGGUUCAAUAAGUCUGAUGUGAAAGCCUUCGGCUCAACCGGAGAAUUGCAUCAGAAACUGUGGGACUUGAGGGCAGAAGAGGAGAGUGGAACUCCAUGUGUAGCGGGGGAAUGCGUAGAUAUAUGGAAGAACACCAGUGGCGAAGGCGGCUCUCUGGUCUGCAACUGACGCUGAGGCUCGAAAGCAUGGGUAGCGAACAGGAUUAGAUACCCCAGUAGUC